ensembl:snRNA U6 U6 spliceosomal RNA
GUGCUCGCUUCAGCAGCACAUAUCCUAAAAUGUGGAACGAUAAAGAUGAUUAGCAUGGUCCCUGGGUAACAAUGACACGCAAAUUCGUGAAGCAUUCCAUACUUUU